GUGUUGUAUGAAAGGAGAGAAGGUUAGCACUCCCCUUGCCUAGGAUGGAAGAGGCCCUUAGGCCGGACAACAUGCAUGCAGUUAAGGCACUGCCACCUACCUUGUGACAUCUAACCAUUGUUUCAU